rnacentral:rRNA from 1 species
GAUGAACGCUGACAGAAUGCUUAACACAUGCAAGUCAACCUGAACCUCGGUUUGGGUGGCGGACGGGUGAGUAACGAGUAAAGAACUUGCCUCACAGAUAGGGACAACACUUGUAAACGAAUGCUAAUAUCUGAUAUUAUGAUUAUAUGGCAUCGUAUAAUUACGAAAGCUAUAUGCGCUGUGAGAGAGCUUUGCGUCCCAUUUGCUAGUUGGAGAGGUAACGGCUCCCGAAGGCGAGGAUGGGUAGCCGGCCUGAGAGGGUGAUCGGCCACAAGGGGACUGAGACAGGACCCGUACGGAUUCGGGAGGCAGCAGUGGGGAAUAGAGGACAAUGGACCAAGAGUCUGAUGAAGCAAUUCUGUGUGGACAGUGAAGUUUUUCGGAAUGUAAAGUAGUUUCUGUUGGCAAGAAAAAAAUGACGGUACCAACAGAAGAAGUGACGGCUAAAUACGUG